rnacentral:misc_RNA from 1 species
UUUCCGUAGGUGAACCUGCGUAAGGAUCAUUCAUAAUAAAGUGUUUUAUGGCACUUUUUAAAAAUCCAUAUCCACCUUGUGUGCAAUGUUAGAUCUCGUCAAUCUUGGCGAGAUUUUUAUACAUCAACUCAUUCUUUAACUAAUUUGUCUGAAAAAUAUUAUGAAUACUUAAUUCAAAAUACAACUUUCAACAACGGAUCUCUUGGCUCUC